AGCGGAAAGUUUAGUGAACCUUAUCACUUAGAGGAAGGAGAAGUCGUAACAAGGUUUCCGUAGGUGAACCUGCGGAAGGAUCAUUC
rnacentral:rRNA from 1 species